rnacentral:misc_RNA from 1 species
GUCUUUUUUUUUUAGUACUUCGGAAAGUAUCCAUACACUUCUCUUUGAUUUUGAAGUUAUGGUUAUACAGCCCUGACAAGGACAACACUGCAAACCUCCAAAACAAUCCCAUGUUCAAAGUUCCCAUCUUUCUGCAAUUUCACGCAUUGAUUUGAUUCCUAGACUGUUGUUUUUAUGCCACCCCACCGCAGCUGCCGCCGCCGCCGCCAUCACCAGCAACCACCACUAAAAACCCAAGAUUGUUUCUGUUUGUUUCUAUUAUCCUCAUGUCCUCAUGUGCAAAUCAAGAAAAAACCACUCUCUAACCCCCAAAUCCCGCCCUUCAAAAUCAUCUUCUUCUGCAAACCCAUCUUCAUCAUUAUCAUCAUCAUCCAGCAAUUACCCAAGUCUCAAUUACCCAUCAUCAUCAUCCAUUAAUUACUCUUCUUCAGGCUUCUUUAACAAUAACAAGGACACUUCAAAAUCGUCUUCUUCUUCUAUCUCAAGCAAACGCUCUCUCAAAAGCCUGAAAGAAGCCGCUUUACCAGAGAACCCAAAUAUUUAUGACUUUGCUGAAAUCUGCAGAGCCACUAACAAUUUCCUAUCAAAACCCUUUUCUUCUUCCUCCUCUUCGACCUCUUGGCGCUGCCAGAUUCGCCGGAA